rnacentral:ncRNA from 2 species
UACGUAGGGUGCGAGCGUUAAUCGGAAUUACUGGGCGUAAAGCGUGCGCAGGCGGUUCGCUAAGACAGGUGUGAAAUCCCCGGGCUUAACCUGGGAAUGGCGCUUGUGACUGGCGGGCUGGAGUACGGCAGAGGGAGGUGGAAUUCCACGUGUAGCAGUGAAAUGCGUAGAGAUGUGGAGGAACACCGAUGGCGAAGGCAGCCUCCUGGGCCAGUACUGACGCUCAUGCACGAAAGCGUGGGGAGCAAACAGG